UCGCACGAAGAAAGGGAGCAAUCCUAAGUAAAGUGGCGCACGGGUGAGUAACACGUGGAUCAUCUACCUUUUAGUGGGGAAUACCUCUGGGAAACCGGAGACAAUACCGCAUAAGCCCGCAAGGGGAAAGCAGCAAUGCGCUGAAAGAGGAGUCCGCGGCCGAUUAGCUAGUUGGCGGGGUAAUGGCCCACCAAGGCGAAGAUCGGUAGCCGGCCUGAGAGGGCACACGGCCACACUGGCACUGAAACACGGGCCAGACUCCUACGGGAGGCAGCAGUGGGGAAUCUUGCACAAUGGGCGAAAGCCUGAUGCAGCGACGCCGCGUGAGCGAUGAAGCCCUUCGGGGUGUAAAGCUCUUUCGACGGGAACGAUAAUGACGGUACCCGGAGAAGAAGCUGCGGCUAACUACGUGCCAGCAGCCGCGGUAAUACGUAGGCAGCGAGCGUUGUUCGGAAUUACUGGGCGUAAAGAGUGUGUAGGCGGUGUUCCCAGUCUGUUGUGAAAUCUCCCGGCUUAACUGGGAGGGUGCAGCGGAAACUAGGAUGCUAGAGGGUGGGAGAGGUAAGCGGAAUUCCUGGUGUAGCGGUGAAAUGCGUAGAUAUCAGGAGGAACACCUGUGGUGUAGACAGCUUACUGGACCACUUCUGACGCUGAGACACGAAAGCGUGGGUAGCAAACAGGAUUAGAUACCCUGGUAGUCCACGCC
rnacentral:rRNA from 1 species